rnacentral:lncRNA from 1 species
CCACGCGACCACUUGUAUUUCACCGGCUCCCAAUUGUAUGCUCUGUACUGUGCAUAUGCUCCGAGAUUUGCCUUGGCUCACUUGCACCCGGUGCAUACAAUAAUUUCUCCUAUAAAAGACAGAUUAGUUUGCUAGACAUGCAUGACCAAUGAAAAUAACAAAGAAUUGGAGGAAUUACUAUCUGAUUGAUAAAAUCUAACU